rnacentral:rRNA from 1 species
UGAGCCAAGUUUAUAGGGUUUUCUCAAAACCCGAUUGCAGUAUUGAACUGAAGAGUUUGAUCAUGGCUCAGAUUGAACGCUGGCGGCAGGCCUAACACAUGCAAGUCGAGCGGUUGA